UUGAAAAGAUUUGUUAUUUGUUAAAUUAAUUGUUGGUUGGGUAUUAAUUUAAGUAAAUUAAUAGUCUUUGUAUAAAUUAGAUAAGAUUUUAAGAACUAUAGUGCAAAAGUAUUGUGAAAGAAUUAUAUUUAUGGAAUUUAAUAGAUAAAGUUGAAUUUAAGUUUUGUAUCUUGUGUAUAAGGGUGGAUUAAAAAUAAUAAUUUAAUGUUUUAUUCUCGAAUUUUAAAGAUUUAAUGAAAUAGGAUAUUUUAUUGUUUAAUAAAUAUGAGUCAUAUUUUGUUGGUAAUGAAAUGUUAUUCGUUUUUAAGGAUAUCUGGUUUUUUAAUAAAUGAAUUUAAUUCAAUGGUUUUUCUUUACUUUAUAUUUUAAGUAUUGUGAAUAUAGAAAGAUCAUAUUUUAUUAGGGGAAAAACUCUAGUAAACAUUUUUAUAAUAUAGUGUGGAAAAGAAAGGGUUUUGUGAAUUUGGAAUUUGUUAAUAAGAAGAGGAUGUUAAAAUUUAAUUCUUCUGAAUGGUAAAAUUAAUUUUUUGUUUAAUUUUUUUAUUAAAAUAUUUAAUAGUAUUUUGUUAUUUAAAGUAAUAAUGAUUUAAUUAGUAAAAAUAAAUUUUGUAAUAAUUUAGUUUAAAAUAGAUUUGGGAUUUUAAUUGUGAAGAAUUAGGCAAAUUCUUACUCGCCUGUUUAUUAAAAACAUGGUUUCUUGAUUAAUAUAGGAAAUUUAACCUGCCCACUGAUUUAUUUGAAGGGCCGCGGUAUUUUGACUGUGCAAAGGUAGCAUAAUCAUUAGUCUUUUAAUUGAGGACUUGUAUGAAUGGUUGGACGAGGUGAUAACUGUUUUAUGAUAAUUGAUGUUGAAGUUGAAAUUUAAGUAAAAAGACUUAAAUGAAUUUAAGGGACGAGAAGACCCUAUAGAGUUUAAUAAAUUGAUAAAGAAUAAUAAGGUUAAUAAUUAGUUGAUUUAAUUAUUAUAAUGUAAAUUUAUUUGGUUGGGGUGAUUUAAAGAUAAUUUGAACUCUUUUUUAAUUUGAAUAUGAGUUGAUAAAAUAGUUAUGAUCCAUUGAAAUUAGUUAUGAUUAAAAGAUAAAAUUACCUUAGGGAUAACAGUAUAAUUUUUUUUGAGAGUUCUUAUUGAGAAAGAAGAUUAUGACCUCGAUGUUGGAUUAAGGUAAAAUUUGGAUGUAGAUGUUUAAUUAUGUUAGGUCUGUUCGACCUUUAAAAUCUUACAUGAUCUGAGUUUAAACCGGCGUGAGCCAGGUUGGUUUCUAUCUUUAAAAGGAUUAAGUGAUUUAGUACGAAAGGACCAGUCAUUUAAAAUAAUUUUUUAGUUGGAUUUUUAUUAAGUGGAUAAGUAUAAUAAUAUA
rnacentral:rRNA from 1 species